UUAUCAAUUAUCAUCCACUUACUCGAAUUAAUAUGGGCUAGAGGUUAUCAAAGGAGUACCAGAAAUCUUCCUAUUAAUAAUUUUGUCCCAAAAAUAGAAAUUUUGAGGGCUUUUGAAGGGUGAAAGUUACUAGAAAAAAGUUGUUUCGUUAAGGACAGAAGUCGAAAGUUUUAUUAAAAAUCAAAUUCAAAAAGUGACAACACACGCAAUAAGUGUUAGAGGUCAUGUGGUGGUGCACUGAGCGCUUACAAAAUAAUUUGACCACAGUUUUAAUCGUGCAGUCAACCACUCGGGUUGGAAAUUGAACCCUCUGCAAAGUGGGACAAAACAUCAAAAUGUCGAAAGAGACUUUAGAAAUGGGGGAUUUGGAGAAAAAAGACGAAAACCAAAAGCAGAAAAAUGUUGUAGAAGCGCCAGACUCUUGUUGUGGAGUGCGACACUUCCAAGUCUUCCUCACCUUCCUCCUCACUUUCAUCGCUUAUGGCAUUAGAGUCAAUCUGUCGGUCGCAAUUGUGGCAAUGACCACGAAAGCCAGCGAGAACCCUGAUAUUCCAAUUUUCGACUGGCACAACAAAAGUAUCAUUCUCUCAUCGUUCUUCUGGGGGUACAUUAUACCCCAGGUGGGGGCCGGCCAAUUAGCCAAAAAAUUCGGCCCCAAAUGGUUCCUAGUCGCAACAAUGUUCAUUUGCUCAAUUUUUGGCCUUUUGUUACCAAUAAUGGCCGAAACGAUGGGUUCUGAAGGAGUGAUGGCAUCGCGAGCCUUGCAAGGCUUCUGUCAAGGCUUUAUUUUUCCUUCAAUUCACAAUUUAUUGAGCUAUUGGGUUCCAGUUUCCGAGAGAUCACGUCUAGGAACAUUUGUUUAUGCUGGGGGUCCUUUGGGUACUGUGGUUUCCAUGAUCGUUUCAGGGAUAAUUUCAGCAAGUUGGUAUGGGUGGCCUUUAAUUUUCUAUGUGUAUGGAGUAUUGGGGAUUCUAUGGUCCAUAGCCAUGGCGAUUUUAGGGUCAAAUAAACCGUGCGAAAGCAAAAUAAUUUCAAAAGAGGAACAAGCAUACAUUGAGACUAGUUUGGGGCAUUCUUCCCAUCAAAAGCCUUUACCAACUCCUUGGAAAAGCAUUUUGACUAGUUUGCCUGUCUGGGCAAUCCUCGUAACUCACUGUGGUCAAAAUUGGGGUUUUUGGACCCUAAUUACCGAAAUUCCGUCAUAUAUGAACACAGUGAUGCAUUUCCAGAUUAAAUCACUACUUAAGUGCCUUGCCCUACUUUGUCUUAUGGAUCCUCAGCUUCGUCUUCAGCGGGUUUGCAGAUUUCCUCAUCAUCAAAAAAUACACUUCGUUGGGAGCCACAAGAAAAAUUUUCAACUCGAUUGGUCUUGUUUGCCCCGCAAUUGCCCUAGUUUUCUUAGGUUUUAUGGACGAGGAGCACAAAAACCUAGCUAUAGCCCUUCUUGUCAUAGCAGUUGGUUUGAACUCGGCGAUCUAUUCAGGGUUCAACGUCAACCAUAUGGACAUCUCCCCCAACCAUUCUGGUACAUUAAUGGGCAUCACUAAUUGUGUUUCAAACAUUUUUUCACUAUUGGCACCGCUUUUUGUCCAAGUUGUUGUAACAGAUGAGAAGAACACGUUGCAAUGGCAGGUGGUGUUUGGGGUUGCGUCAGCCAUUUAUGUCGUUAGCAACUUUGUGUUUGUUUUCUGCGGAAGUGGGGAAAUUCAAGAGUGGAAUAAUGAAGGAAAGGAAGAGAGUGAGCAGGUUUAACUAGGUUCAAUUUGCAACAAAAUUUUGCUGUGAUAAUAUUAGUGUUAUUGUGAAAUAUAUUAUAAAUAAAUGAA